AACGAGCGCUGGCGGCAUGCCUAACACAUGCAAGUCGAACGAGACCUUCGGGUCUAGUGGCGCACGGGUGCGUAACGCGUGGGAAUCUGCCCUUGGGUUCGGAAUAACUCGCCGAAAGGCGUGCUAAUACCGGAUUUGAUGUCGUAAGACCAAAGAUUUAUCGCCCAGGGAUGAGCCCGCGUAAGAUUAGGUAGUUGGUGAGGUAAAGGCUCACCAAGCCGACGAUCUUUAGCUGGUCUGAGAGGAUGAUCAGCCACACUGGGACUGAGACACGGCCCAG
rnacentral:rRNA from 1 species